AUUGAACGCUGGCGGCAGGCCUAACACAUGCAAGUCGAACGGUAACAGGAAGCAGCUUGCUGCUUUGCUGACGAGUGGCGGACGGGUGAGUAAUGUCUGGGAAACUGCCCGAUGGAGGGGGAUAACUACUGGAAACGGUAGCUAAUACCGCAUAACGUCGCAAGACCAAAGAGGGGGACCUUAGGGCCUCUUGCCAUCGGAUGUGCCCAGAUGGGAUUAGCUAGUAGGUGGGGUAACGGCUCACCUAGGCGACGAUCCCUAGCUGGUCUGAGAGGAUGACCAGCCACACUGGAACUGAGACACGGUCCAGACUCCUGCGGGAAGCAGCAGUGGGGAAUAUUGCACGAUGGGCGCAAGCCUGAUGCAGCCAUGCCGCGUGUAUGAAGAAGGCCUUCGGGUUGUAAAGUACUUUCAGCGGGGAGGAAGGGAGUAAAGUUAAUACCUGUGCUCAUUGACGUUACCCGCAGAAGAAGCACCGGCUAACUCCGUG
rnacentral:rRNA from 1 species